UUUCGCAAUGCCCGAAAGGGUGACGAAGCGACGCCGCGUGUGGGAAGAAGGCCUUCGGGUUGUAAACCACUGUCGGGAGUUAAGAAAUGCAAGGAUAUGAAUAGUGUCUUUGUUUGACUAAGGCUCCGGAGGAAGCCACGGCUAACUCUGUGCCAGCAGCCGCGGUAAUACAGAGGCGGCAAGCGUUGUUCGGAAUUAUUGGGCGUAAAGAGCACGUAGGCGGCUAUGUAAGUCGGUUGUGAAAGCCUUCCGCUCAACGGAAGAACAGCAUCCGAUACUACAUGGCUUGAGUGCGGGAGGGGAGAGUGGAACUUCUGGUGGAGCGGUGAAAUGCGUAGAUAUCAGAAGGAACGCCGGCGGCGAAAGCGGCUCUCUGGCCCAUAACUGACGCUGAGUGUGCGAAAGCUAGGGGAGCAAACGGGAUUAGAUACCCCGGUAGUCCUAGCCGUAAACGAUGGGCACUAAGUAGAGGGGUUUU
rnacentral:rRNA from 1 species